UACAGAGGUCCCAAGCGUUGUUCGGAUUUACUGGGCGUAAAGGGUGCGUAGGCGGUUGUUUAAGUCUGACGUGAAAUCUCCGGGCCUAACCCGGAAACUGCGUUGGAUACUAUUCAACUAGAGGAAUGGAGGGGAGACUGGAAUACUUGGUGUAGCAGUGAAAUGCGUAGAUAUCAAGUGGAACACCAGUGGCGAAGGCGAGUCUCUGGGCAGUAACUGACGCUGAGGAGCGAAAGCGUGGGGAGCGAACAGG
rnacentral:rRNA from 1 species